AUUCAGCUCUGACUCAUCCUCCACUUUCAUGUUUUUAAAGCGCGGGACGUCGCUCCGAAUGUUGCCGUGCGCGUAAAAGUCAUUUCUGCGCAAAGCAGUGCGCUUUUAUGAGGAGGGAGGCUCAACUCUUAACCAUCAGAUCAGAGGGGAAGGGCUUCGUGCAGCUGAUCCCGGCUCUGUUAUUUUGUCAUUAGAGGAUCCCAGGCAGAAGAUGGGGCCUGUAAAUUAAAGGACCUCUGGCACAUCUGACUCUGAAACUGGAAGAACCCAAAAAAAAAAAAAAAAAAAAACGACCAGCAGAGCAAAUUAGACCGAGUGGAGUUCCACCAGAAAGAGACAUGCGAGAAUUCUGCGUGUUUAGAGAGAGAAAAAGCAAAUGACCUUGGGGGCUGAAGUGGCUGGAUAGAAAAUAAACUGUUUGGAAUUACUCUGCACAUUGAGGAAUAGAAAGCAGCUGCAAAAAUCGGAGCGCUCUCUGAGACUUGGAAAAGCUUUCAGCAGGCCCAUCAUGCUAACCUCUGGGCUUAGUGUGCAAAAGCGAGAGAUGUAAUGUGUUCAGCAUGUCUCCGCCUUUUAGAACACAUAAAUUGUGCUGCCGGAGCCAAAGCCUUUUAGCCUCGACUCACCGGGAGCAGCUGCAAUCGGACAGCGCCGCGGCGACGCGCGGUGCGCGGCCCUCGUACGGCGAGGUUUAAGGGAUUACGGUAAUGAUAACGAAAGCUGCAGCGGGCGAGUGGGGCGUGAGCUCCAGCGAACGACACGCUGGAGACCACGUCUGCACCAAGUUUGGGAAAAUCUAAUUUAUGAGCACUCCGCCGCAGCUGGACUUGCACUUCCGACCGGCGGAUAGCGUUACCAAACACCGCGGAGCGGUGGAUGGAUGUGCGCAACGCGCGCACUUGCUGCUUUCUGACAAAUGGACGCGCUGUAUAUUUACAGAGGUGUGCACACAAACACGCAGAUAUCGCGCUACAGCUCAUUGGGUCACGUGGUGCUGGGAGACAUGCGAGGGUUUGCGAGUGGGCUGUCCGUGGGUGGCACCGGAAGGGAACGCUCGUGGCGCAGUCUGAGGUUCUGAAUCAGAUUCACUGACUUGGCGAGCGAGCGCGAUCGCGCAACGGCCCCACAGUAGAUGGAAACACGAUCAACCUCAGCGUCGUAGAGGCUUUCGCCACUUUCGCCCGAAUCCGUGUCACGAGGAGCGUAAUCUGAAUCAUCUUCAGCUGUUGAAGCGUCGCUUUCACGGACGCACAGAGGCCGAUGCCGUGUGGAAAACAGGCCAAAUGCCGCGACGGUGGGAAGUGACCAGUGUCCUCUCGGUUCCGAGACCUGACAGUGAACCCUGAGUGGCCGGCCGCCCCCCGGACGGCUUCCCUCCGGCCCAGCCUCCACCACGCAGCCACCGCCUGGAGCCCCGUCACCCCGGCUGCCCUCGCUGUCUCUCCUUAACCCCUUCUCCUUCCCUCCCUCCCUCCCUCGCUCGCUCUCCCUCUCCUCCCCGUUCUCUCGUUUUCUCUCUCUCCAGGCUCUCUUUACUCAGUGCUUUCAAGCGCUCCCCGUGUCACCAGCCUGAUUAAAACAAACACUGACCCUAUUUUGGUAUCUAAUCCAAUUGUGUUCUUUUUCUUCUCACCGGCCCUGGAGCACGCGGAGUAUUGGGUGUCCUGGGAGCCACGGGGCCCCCCUCUGCGGAUGAUCUUAGAUUUCAAACACUCAGGAUCAUCACAUAUGGCGGGCGGAGAGUAAAUAAAGUCUUAUUAAACUGCCUUUUAGCGCCGUGUGUAAACAGGAC